rnacentral:rRNA from 1 species
GGCAGCAGCUAAGAAUAUUGGGCAAUGGAGGAAACCCUGAUCCAGCCAUGCCGCGUGUGUGAAGAAGGUCUUCGGAUUGUAAAGCACUUUAAGUUGGGAGGAAGGGCUCCGGGUUAAUACCCUGUGAGUUUUGACGUUACCAACAGAAUAAGCACCGGCUAACUUCGUGCCAGCAGCCGCGGUAAU